rnacentral:rRNA from 1 species
GUGGGGAAUCUUAGACAAUGGGGGAAACCCUGAUCUAGCCAUGCCGCGUGAGCGAUGAAGGCCUUAGGGUUGUAAAGCUCUUUCAGCUGGGAAGAUAAUGACGGUACCAGCAGAAGAAGCCCCGGCUAACUCCGUGCCAGCAGCCGCGGUAAUACGGAGGGGGCUAGCGUUGUUCGGAAUUACUGGGCGUAAAGCGCGCGUAGGCGGACCAGAAAGUUGGAGGUGAAAUCCCAGGGCUCAACCUUGGAACUGCCUUCAAAACUCCUGGUCUGGAGUUCGAGAGAGGUGAGUGGAAUUCCGAGUGUAGAGGUGAAAUUCGUAGAUAUUCGGAGGAACACCAGUGGCGAAGGCGACUCACUGGCUCGAUACUGACGCUGAGGUGCGAAAGCGUGGGGAGCAAACAGGAUUAGAAACCCUGGUAGUCC